CGUCCUCUGCGUUGUUCGACAGCGCGUCCGCAAUAUACCUUGACCCUGUUUUUCGACCUUGGGAAGAGCUCCAGACCGCGCAUGCGCUUGUCCGCCUCGCAGCGGACCGCCUUUAGCGGUUCUCUUCUUCCCACCUGAUCCCUCGGAUCAAGGUCGUGAGACCCGCAUCGGCAUCGGCGGAGGACCC
rnacentral:other from 1 species